rnacentral:rRNA from 1 species
UACGGAGGGGGCUAGCGUUGUUCGGAAUUACUGGGCGUAAAGCGCACGUAGGCGGCUUUGCAAGUCAGAGGUGAAAGCCCGGGGCUCAACCCCGGAAUUGCCUUUGAGACUGCAUCGCUAGAAUUGUGGAGAGGUAAGUGGAAUUCCGAGUGUAGAGGUGAAAUUCGUAGAUAUUCGGAAGAACACCAGUGGCGAAGGCGACUUACUGGACACAUAUUGACGCUGAGGCGCGAAAGCCAGGGGAGCGAACGGG